rnacentral:rRNA from 1 species
GACGAACGCUGSCGGCGUGCCUAAUACAUGCAAGUCGAACGAACUCUGGUAUUGAUUGGUGCUUGCAUCAUGAUUUACAUUUGAGUGAGUGGCGAACUGGUGAGUAACACGUGGGAAACCUGCCCAGAAGCGGGGGAUAACACCUGGAAACAGAUGCUAAUACCGCAUAACAACUUGGACCGCAUGGUCCGAGCUUGAAAGAUGGCUUCGGCUAUCACUUUUGGAUGGUCCCGCGGCGUAUUAGCUAGAUGGUGGGGUAACGGCUCACCAUGGCAAUGAUACGUAGCCGACCUGAGAGGGUAAUCGGCCACAUUGGGACUGAGACACGGCCCAAACUCCUACGGGAGGCAGCAGUAGGGAAUCUUCCACAAUGGACGAAAGUCUGAUGGAGCAACGCCGCGUGAGUGAAGAAGGGUUUCGGCUCGUAAAACUCUGUUGUUAAAGAAGAACAUAUCUGAGAGUAACUGUUCAGGUAUUGACGGUAUUUAACCAGAAAGCCACGGCUAACUACGUGCCAGCAGCCGCGGUAAUACGUAGGUGGCAAGCGUUGUCCGGAUUUAUUGGGCGUAAAGCGAGCGCAGGCGGUUUUUUAAGUCUGAUGUGAAAGCCUUCGGCUCAACCGAAGAAGUGCAUCGGAAACUGGGAAACUUGAGUGCAGAAGAGGACAGUGGAACUCCAUGUGUAGCGGUGAAAUGCGUAGAUAUAUGGAAGAACACCAGUGGCGAAGGCGGCUGUCUGGUCUGUAACUGACGCUGAGGCUCGAAAGUAUGGGUAGCAAACAGGAUUAGAUACCCUGGUAGUCCAUACCGUAAACGAUGAAUGCUAAGUGUUGGAGGGUUUCCGCCCUUCAGUGCUGCAGCUAACGCAUUAAGCAUUCCGCCUGGGGAGUACGGCCGCAAGGCUGAAACUCAAAGGAAUUGACGGGGGCCCGCACAAGCGGUGGAGCAUGUGGUUUAAUUCGAAGCUACGCGAAGAACCUUACCAGGUCUUGACAUACUAUGCAAAUCUAAGAGAUUAGACGUUCCCUUCGGGGACAUGGAUACAGGUGGUGCAUGGUUGUCGUCAGCUCGUGUCGUGAGAUGUUGGGUUAAGUCCCGCAACGAGCGCAACCCUUAUUAUCAGUUGCCAGCAUUAAGUUGGGCACUCUGGUGAGACUGCCGGUGACAAACCGGAGGAAGGUGGGGAUGACGUCAAAUCAUCAUGCCCCUUAUGACCUGGGCUACACACGUGCUACAAUGGAUGGUACAACGAGUUGCGAACUCGCGAGAGUAAGCUAAUCUCUUAAAGCCAUUCUCAGUUCGGAUUGUAGGCUGCAACUCGCCUACAUGAAGUCGGAAUCGCUAGUAAUCGCGGAUCAGCAUGCCGCGGUGAAUACGUUCCCGGGCCUUGUACACACCGCCCGUCACACCAUGAGAGUUUGUAACACCCAAAGUCGGUGGGGUAACCUUUUAGGAACCAGCCGCCUAAGGUGGGACAGAUGAUUAGGGUGAAGUCGUAACAAGGUAGCCGUAGGG